GAAUUGCAGAAUCCCGUGAACCAUCGAGUCUUUGAACGCAAGUUGCGCCCGAAGCCAUUAGGUUGAGGGCACGUCUGCCUGGGCGUCACAUAUCGUUGCCCGAUGCCUAUUGCAGUGUGAUAGGAAUUUUUAGGGCGAAUGAUGGCUUCCCGUGAGCGUUGUUGCCUCGCGGUUGGUUGAAAAUUGAGUCCUUGGUGGGGUGUGCCAUGAUAGAUGGUGGUCGAGUUAGCACGAGACCCAUCAUGUGUACGCUCCCCAUAAUAUGGCUUCGAUGACCCACAUGCGUCUUUUGACUCUCAUGACGAGACCUCAGGUCAGGCGGGGCUACCCGCUGAAUUUAAGCAUAUCAAUAAGCGGAGGAAAAGAAACUAACAAGGAUUCCCUUAGUAACGGCGAGCGAACCGGGAAGAGCCCACCAUGAGAAUCGGCCGCCCUUGGCGUUCGAAUUGUA
rnacentral:rRNA from 1 species